AGGUACCUGAAGUCUUUCGGCAAAAGCCGACUGAGAAGGAGGCGAAAGAGACCGGGAUCUUUAGCGACCACCCGCAACCCGCUCCCAAGGGCACUGAAGAUCUUUAAAGGAAGAUGUCUUACCACCUCUAAAGCUUUUUAACAAGAUGUGCUGUGGGCUCUGCAGACAGCGCCCAAUGAAGAGCUCCAAAAUAGGUUUCAGCAAUGGAAGCAUUACUGCAAUAAGUGACAGACUUCCAAGAUGACCAGUUAGCUAAGGACACACUCAAAUGCACGUGUUCAGCAAUGACAAGGUCCAGUAGCAACAAGAAAAGAUAAGAUGUGAGACUGGAAGCCACUGGAGGAUUUCAAGCACACAAAGGGUGUGAC
rnacentral:lncRNA from 1 species